rnacentral:rRNA from 1 species
GAUGAACGCUGGCGGCGUGCCUAAUACAUGCAAGUCGAGCGAACAGACGAGGAGCUUGCUCCUCUGACGUUAGCGGCGGACGGGUGAGUAACACGUGGAUAACCUACCUAUAAGACUGGGAUAACUUCGGGAAACCGGAGCUAAUACCGGAUAAUAUAUUGAACCGCAUGGUUCAAUAGUGAAAGACGGUUUUGCUGUCACUUAUAGAUGGAUCCGCGCCGCAUUAGCUAGUUGGUAAGGUAACGGCUUACCAAGGCAACGAUGCGUAGCCGACCUGAGAGGGUGAUCGGCCACACUGGAACUGAGACACGGUCCAGACGCCUACGAGAGGCAGCAGUAGGGAAUCUUCCGCAAUGGGCGAAAGCCUGACGGAGCAACGCCGCGUGAGUGAUGAAGGUCUUCGGAUCGUAAAACUCUGUUAUUAGGGAAGAACAAAUGUGUAAGUAACUAUGCACGUCUUGACGGUACCUAAUCAGAAAGCCACGGCUAACUACGUG